rnacentral:rRNA from 1 species
AUACGGAGGAUGCAAGCGUUAUCCGGAUUUAUUGGGUUUAAAGGGUGCGUAGGCGGUUUGCUAAGCGGGAGGUGAAAUGCCGGCGCUCAACGUCGGAAGUGCCUCCCGAACUGGUGGACUGGAAUGACUCUGCCGUGGGCGGAAUGUGUAGUGUAGCGGUGAAAUGCUUAGAGAUUACACAGAACACCGAUUGCGAAGGCAUCUCACGAAGGGUUGAUUGACGCUGAGGCACGAAAGCGUGGGGAUCAAACAGGAUUAGAUACCCUGGCAGUCCACGCAGUAAACGAUGAUGGCUAACCGCUGGUUUAUUCGGAUCAGUGGCCAAGCGAAAGCGAUAAGCCAUCCACCUGGGGAGUACGACCGCAAGGUUGAAACUCAAAUGAAUUGACGGGG